CACACACAUGACAGGAAGCCACCAAGCUAGCUAAGGCUAACAAGCUAGCUAAGGCUAACAAGCUAGAAAACACACAGAUAGAAAAGUGGGCUGACAUUUCACAUUUCACUGAGGGUCAAUUAAUUUUGUUUCUGGACCAGUUUGAGCUCACGGGCCGCCGUGUUCUGACCCGGCGCUGAGCACCCAGUACCCUGUGGAGCCUGCUGGUACUGUGUGUUGACACCAGAGCUGAGUGAGCUCCGUGUGGUCGCGUGCCCAGCUCAUCCUGUUGUUCCCGAGCCAGCAGAGUGGAUCCCUGCUGGGUGGCAGAACCAGACCAACACUGUGAGGAGAGGCGUCUGCUGGACCGAGCCGAUGACAGAAGCUCUUCCUUCCUGCUACAGUUACCUGAGUUACCUGUCUAAAUGUUAGUUUACCCCAAAACAUGUUGGAGUGACUGACCUCCGACCUGCAGAGGAGCUGACAGGACUACAUUUCCCAGCAGCCAUCAGUGGACUCCAUCCACGUUCCUGGUGUGUCUGAACCUGAGCGGCUGGUCUUUGGGUCGACACCCCUCCUCCCCGUCCUCAGAUCAGAUUAGUGCAGCUGAGAGGGGAUUUGGGAUGCUACACUUCGUGGAGGCGACCCGCUGACAGCCGUCACGCUCAUCACCAGCGUCACGUAAAAAUGUGUCAUCUGCAAAGCUGUUUUAAGGCCGGAAGCAGACAAAUGUUUAUCAUGAAGCAAGACAGGAACAUAAGAGCAGCACAAGACACGGCUCGAUUUACAAAAAAUAAAAUCAGACCUGCCCUGAAAAGAUUUAAUGUUGCUGCUAUAAAUAAUGUUAAAUGGGGAUGAGGGGGAGGAGCAAGACGAAGAGGGAGGAGCAAGACAAAGAGCGAGGAGGCGGGGCAAGGGACCUCUGCUGUGAGACCCGGCAGCUCUCAGUCCUCCAGAACCAGCACCGGGUCUUGACUGAGGACCAGAACUGUGCGAUAACAUUAGCAGAGCGUCGCAGCUGCUCUGGAGUUCACUCUGCAGAACAUCUGGGAGGUUCUAGCCGCUGACAGAACCGACACGGCUCCACGUUAGACAACAUCUCAUCUGGUCGUAUUAAAACGACUGCAGUCAAAAUAACAAACCUCGACCUGUAACACUGCAGGUGCUUGAGACAAAACGUGGAGCUGAAAGAAGCUAAAACACCGUGUAUGAGGUCCAAACAGUGACUGAACCAGCGCCUGUGCAAUGGAUCCUGGGGUUCUGUACGCUGCUCUCCUCUUACAGACUGGUACAGUAGAGCAGCUCACUCAAGACAGAACACAUGUGAAUAUUUUAUAACUCGUAUGAUACAAGAAGGAAACGGGACACCGGGCUGAGCCGGGCUGAGCCGGGCUCGCAGGGUUUCCUCAUUUCAAGAGUCUGUUUAAGUGCAAGUGAAGAGGAGAAACCUGCAGGCCCGGUGGACCAGCGCCUGUUCAGAACUCUGCUCUGAGCCUCAGCGUGUGACGCACAUCUCUGCCAGCACAGGACAUCAGAGAGAACCGGGACGGUUCAGAGCUGCAGAGAUUCUGCUGCUUCUGGUCUCGUCAUGCUGUGAGUCCAUAUGGACGCUGGUGUUGGCGCUCAGAGCUCUGUGUCAGCAGACAGAGGAAGAGACGACACGAGCCAACUGUCCUCUGCUGCGUGAGGCCGUCUGGAGCUCAGUGUCGAAGGAAAAAGCUUGCCCGGCUCGGCUCGGCUCGGCCCGGCUCGGCCCGGCUCACCUCCCUCUCUGCCUGAAUAGACUAGUGGAGGUUCAGGUACGAGCUGGAAGGCUCCAGUGGAAAAUGAAUCUGGAGGAGACAGUGGGGCUGUUAGGUUAGCAUGUCUGUCUGUCUGCAUGAGAGGGAGGGAGACAUGUGUGUUAUCCAUCAGCUGUCUCAGGUGGAUGACGAUCAGAGGCUUCACUUCUCUCUAUAGCAGCUCUGUGUUAGCUCCUGUCUCUUUAAGGCCCCUCCCCCUCUGCUCUGAUUGGUCAGCUCACACGCACCUGAGCCAGCCCAGCUAACAGCAACAACACCAGCUGUGCUAACUCAAGUUUUACAUGACAAACUUGUUGAAAUUAUGCAGAUGUGUGACAUGAUGACAGUGUGAUGUCACAAAGUAACAGAAUUAAAGGCGGGACUACCAACGAGGCGUUCAGGAGCACUGUUUUCUGUGGGAGAGACAAGCUUCUUCUUUCAGUUAUUCAUCCGGACUGAAGGUUCUGGAACCGGUCCAGUGGAUCACCUCAGCUGGCAGCCAACAGCUAAUAAUUCACAUGUGAACAAUCAAAAGUACACGUGUGUAAAAAUGUAAACUUCACCUGUAAACAUGAUUCAUUGUAACAUGUUAAAGGUUUAAUUUCACUUGUAACAAAAUCAUUUCUCAUGUGGAAUAUUAAACCUUUAACAUCAAAAUCUUAAUCAUAUGUAAAAAUAAAUAAAAAACAACCACUUGUGAAAAUGUCCAGUAAAGAAUACGUGAAAAUGUCAAAUUUUAAAUCACUUUUUUGUUUCCACUUGUGUAAAUAUGUGAAACAUAAAGACGUCCAGUCGAUGACGAGCAGAUCAUUUCUACGUUCCUCUGUUUUCCCUCUUCUUCCUCCUCUUCCUCCUCUUCGUCUCCGUCUCUUCUUCUUCGUUGUUUUUCCUCGCUGUGCGUCCACCCACACUAACCCAGCAUGCUCUCUGCCCCGGGCUGCCUCUCGUCUCCAUACAUACAGGAGCAGUUGACUGUUUGCUGCAGCGCUCGGCGGCCUCGCUGUGAUUCAUGAACACACAAUAAACUGUUUCUUAUAAAAAACGGUGGAGGAAGUAGUGUCAGAAAAAAACAGCAGGAUUUACAUCCAGAGAGACGAGGAGCUGCAGCCCGUCGGUUAAAGGAGCAGUCCGACUGUUCAUCAGCGUCAGACGAGAGGUCUGAGAGUCAGCAGUGAGUCUGAGAUGGAGGACGGUCCAC